UGUAGCAGUGUGAUGUUAUUACACUAGAUUGUAAAGUGAGAAGCUUUCCGGUAGGAAAUUAUAUGAGCACUGACAGCUUUUAUUUUGAAAAGACGACCAAUCCAUUUCAAAACAGUGGGUAACUUCCUGUCCCAAAAUUAUUAUCUUUAUUCAAAUUUAAUAUGUUGUGAAUAAAACUGUGAAUUAUUACCUUUAAUGUUUAACAUAUUGAGUUCAUAGAUUGUUGUUUAAAGUAUCAGUUCGAAAUUUAAAAAGAAAAGUUAUCGGGUCAUACCAUUAUAACCUGUGAAAGGUUUUCCCACGCUUUCCGUCGCGCUCUUUCUGUUCGGAUCCCGUGGGAGAAGGUAUGAAGUUUUGCUUUUUGUGUUUAAUAAGUGUAUUUUAAGGGUAAUAAGUGUUAGUUUUAUUACUGGUUUUGUAAAACAAUGGGUGUUGAAGCACUUAACCUGCAGUUAGCAGUUAUCUAGCUGCUCUUCUGAUACAUGAAACAUUGCUUCAUCUAUGUGCUGAAAAUAGUAUUGUUCAUGAUUAAACAGGCGCUGUGGAACACUGUGAAAAGAAAAGCCUGUUCUUGAUUACUAUUUUCUGCCAUUUGAAUGCAGGUAAAUGUGUUACUUUACACAAGUCACACGCGGCUCUUUCUGUUCGGAUCCCGUGGGAGAAGGCGCUGUGGAACACUGUGAAAAGAAAAGCCUGUUCUUGAUUACUAUUUUCUGCCAUUUGAAUGCAGGAUCAUUAAAAGUGCUUUCCAAUCAGCUGUGGUCUGGCUGUGGUCACUCUUCUACAAGACACAACGCAGAAUCAACUACGCUACAUCUGCCUCCUUCCUUGCGGCUCGUGUACAGUCUCAGGGUGCUGGAUUUGGGAUGGAACCCUCCAUGCAUUUAGCCCAUUUAUCAUCAAGGUGCCCUGGUUCCCCAACACCUGACGCAGACCUUGUUUGGCCGGGCGACGUCUGAGCCGGCAUGUUAUGCAUUUUAGUAUCUCUCAUGUUGUCCUGAUCACCAGAAGAGGAAACCUAAGGCGGGACACGGCGGGUCGCCCUGUUGGGUCGCGGCGCUUACUGCUGGGAACGUUGUGGGAGAGUCUCCGAGUCCGGACUGGGAUCGCCGACUGCAAACAGAGAGCAAAGAGAAAUGAGAGGAAACAAACGUCAUGACGCUGGAUGUUCUCCGUCUGGAGCCGAUCGAACCUUCAGAUCCUCCUCCAGCCCGGUU